UGCAUGGUUGUCGUCAGCUCGGUGCCGUGAGGUGUCGGGUUAAGUCCCAUAACGAGCGCAACCCUAUCAUUAGUUGCCAUCAGGUCAAGCUGGGGACUCUAAUGAAACUGCCUACGCAAGUAGUGAGGAAGGUGGGGAUGACGUCAAAUCAGCACGGCCCUUACGUCCAGGGCUACACACGUGCUACAAUGGCCGGUACAAAGGGCAGCUACCUGGUGACAGGAUGCUAAUCUCAAAAGCCGGUCUCAGUUCGGAUCGGAGUCUGCAACCCGACUCCGUGAAGCUGGAAUCGCUAGUAAUCGUGGAUCAGCAUGCCACGGUGAAUACGUUCCCGGGCCUU
rnacentral:rRNA from 1 species